UUUCCGUAGGUGAACCUGCGGAAGGAUCAUUAUCGAGUUUUGACUGGGUUGUAGCUGUCCUUACGAGGCAUUUGCACGCCCUGCUCAUCCACUCUACACCUGUGCACUUACUGUGGGUAUCAGAUCGUGAAGUGUGCUCUUUUACCGGAGCUUGUGAAGCGUGUCUGUGCCUGCGUUUAUCACAAACACUAUAAAGUAUCAGAAUGUGUAUUACGAUGUAACGCAUCUAUAUACAACUUUCAGCAACGGAUCUCUUGGCUCUC
rnacentral:misc_RNA from 1 species